rnacentral:rRNA from 1 species
GACGAACGCUGGCGGCGUGCCUAAUACAUGCAAGUAGAACGCUGAAGAGAGGAGCUUGCUCUUCUUGGACGAGUUGCGAACGGGUGAGUAACGCGUAGGUAACCUGCCUGGUAGCGGGGGAUAACUAUUGGAAACGAUAGCUAAUACCGCAUAAAAUUGAUUAUUGCAUGAUAAUUAAUUGAAAGAUGCAAUUGCAUCACUACCAGAUGGACCUGCGUUGUAUUAGCUAGUUGGUGAGGUAACGGCUCACCAAGGCGACGAUACAUAGCCGACCUGAGAGGGUGAUCGGCCACACUGGGACUGAGACACGGCCCAGACUCCUACGGGAGGCAGCAGUAGGGAAUCUUCGGCAAUGGGGGGAACCCUGACCGAGCAACGCCGCGUGAGUGAAGAAGGUUUUCGGAUCGUAAAGCUCUGUUGUAUGAGAAGAACGGGUGUGAGAGUGGAAAGUUCACACUGUGACGGUAUCUUACCAGAAAGGGACGGCUAACUACGUGCCAGCAGCCGCGGUAAUACGUAGGUCCCGAGCGUUGUCCGGAUUUAUUGGGCGUAAAGCGAGCGCAGGCGGUUAGAUAAGUCUGAAGUUAAAGGCUGUGGCUUAACCAUAGUAUGCUUUGGAAACUGUUUAACUCGAGUGCAGAAGGGGAGAGUGGAAUUCCACGUGUAGCGGUGAAAUGCGUAGAUAUAUGGAGGAACACCGGUGGCGAAAGCGGCUCUCUGGUCUGUAACUGACGCUGAGGCUCGAAAGCGUGGGGAGCAAACAGGAUUAGAUACCCUGGUAGUCCACGCCGUAAACGAUGAGUGCUAGGUGUUAGGCCCUUUCCGGGGCUUAGUGCCGCAGCUAACGCAUUAAGCACUCCGCCUGGGGGGUACGACCGCAAGGUUGAAACUCAAAGGAAUUGACGGGGGCCCGCACAAGCGGUGGAGCAUGUGGUUUAAUUCGAAGCGACGCGAAGAACCUUACCAGGUCUUGACAUCCCUCUGACCGCUCUAGAGAUAGAGUUUUCCUUCGGGACAGAGGUGACAGGUGGUGCAUGGUUGUCGUCAGCUCGUGUCGUGAGAUGUUGGGUUAAGUCCCGCAACGAGCGCAACCCCUAUUGUUAGUUGCCAUCAUUGAGUUGGGCACUCUAGCGAGACUGCCGAUAAUAAACCGGAGGAAGGUGGGGAUGACGUCAAAUCAUCAUGCCCCUUAUGACCUGGGCUACACACGUGCUACAAUGGCUGGUACAACGAGUCGCAAGCCGGUGACGGCAAGCUAAUCUCUGAAAGCCAGUCUCAGUUCGGAUUGUAGGCUGCAACUCGCCUACAUGAAGUCGGAAUCGCUAGUAAUCGCGGAUCAGCACGCCGCGGUGAAUACGUUCCCGGGCCU